rnacentral:rRNA from 1 species
AUUGAACGCUGGCGGCAUGCCUUACACAUGCAAGUCGAACGGUAACGCGGGGCAACCUGGCGACGAGUGGCGAACGGGUGAGUAAUACAUCGGAACGUGCCCAGUAGUGGGGGAUAGCCCGGCGAAAGCCGGAUUAAUACCGCAUACGACCUACGGGUGAAAGCGGGGGAUCGCAAGACCUCGCGCUAUUGGAGCGGCCGAUGUCAGAUUAGCUAGUUGGUGGGGUAAAAGCCUACCAAGGCGACGAUCUGUAGCUGGUCUGAGAGGACGACCAGCCACACUGGGACUGAGACACGGCCCAGACUCCUACGGGAGGCAGCAGUGGGGAAUUUUGGACAAUGGGGGCAACCCUGAUCCAGCCAUGCCGCGUGCGGGAAGAAGGCCUUCGGGUUGUAAACCGCUUUUGUCGGGGAAGAAACGGUCUGCGCUAAUACCGCGGACUGAUGACGGUACCCGAAGAAUAAGCACCGGCUAACUACGUGCCAGCAGCCGCGGUAAUACGUAGGGUGCAAGCGUUAAUCGGAAUUACUGGGCGUAAAGCGUGCGCAGGCGGCUUUGCAAGACAGAUGUGAAAUCCCCGGGCUCAACCUGGGAACUGCAUUUGUGACUGCAUGGCUAGAGUGCGGCAGAGGGGGAUGGAAUUCCGCGUGUAGC